GGAGUCGUAUCGAAGUGGUCACAACGAGCUUGACUCGAAAUCAAGUUGUCGGGUUUCCGGCACGUGGGUUCGAAUCCCACCGACUCCG
rnacentral:tRNA from 1 species